AAAGGGAUUUUUGAACAAGGCUCCUGCAGCCACACCGGGCGUGACACGGAGCCAUGGUGGACCGUGGACUUGGGCAAGCGGCAUUCGGUCUCUGUGGUGAUCGUGAAGAACAGAGAAGACGAGUGCUGUUGGAAGAGGCUGCAGGGGGCCCAGAUCCACGUGGGAGACUCCUUCGUGAACUAUGGCAAAGACAACCCCCUGUGAGUUGCUUCCCCCUUGUCUGCGCUGCGGGACCAUCAACGACCCCAGUCUCGGAUCCCUCAGCACCAUCUGCUGCAGUGGGCUGGAGGGCCGCUACGUCACCAUCGUCAUCCCGGGCAGGGCGGAGUAUCUGUCCCUGUGUGAGGUCGAGGUUCUAUCUCAGGGCUGUAUCACACCACCAGGAGCUCAGAACUUGGCGCUGCGACGUCAGGCUGCUCAGUCGUCUUCAUUCCUGGGGACGAUAUUUGACAUGGCAGGAAAUGCUGUAGAUGGAAAUCGCAAUGGGGUCUGGGAACGUGGCUCCUGCAGCCUCACCAAGCGUGACACGGAGCCCUGGUGGACCGUGGACUUGGGCCGACGGCAUUCCGUCUCCAUGGUGAUGGUGAAGAACAGAGAAGACGGCUCCUAUUGGAAGAGACUGAAGGGGGCUGAGAUCCACGUGGGAGACUCCCUGACUGACAAUGGCAAGAGCAAUCCCCUCUGCGGGACCAUUAACGACACCAGACCUGGAUCCCUCAGCACCAUCUGCUGCAAUGGCCGGCAGGGCCGCUACGUCACCACCACCAUCCCGGGCAGGGCGGAGUAUCUCUCCUUGUGUGAGGUCGAGGUUCUGUCUCAGAGCUGUGUCUCACAACCACGGGCUUUUAACUUGGCGCUGGGACGUCCGGCCACGCAGUCGUCCACGUUGGCGAACACGACUGGACAAGCCGUGGCUGGUAGGGCCGUGGAUGGAAAACACGAUGGGAAGCUGGAACAAGGCUCCUGCAGCCAAACUCAGCGCGACAUGGAGCCCUGGUGGAAUGUGGACUUGGUCAGCCGAUAUUCUGUCUCCAUGGUGAUCGUGAAGCACUUGGAAGACGAGUGCUGCGGGGAGAGACUGAAGGGGGCCGAGAUCCACGUGGGAGACUCCCUGGUGAACCACGGCAAGAACAACCCCCUCUGCGGGACCAUCACGGAGACCAAGCCUGGCGCUCUCAGCACCAUCUGCUGCAAUGGCCUGGCAGGCCGCUACAUCACCAUCGUCAUCCCGGGCAGGGCAGGGAAUCUCACCCUGUGUGAGGUUGAGGUCAUAUCUCAGGGCUGCGCCCCACGAUCAAGUGCUGCGGGACUAUCACUGACAUCGUUCUGGGGUCCUUAGCUGAACGGCCGUUACGUCAGCAUCACCAGCCCCUGCAGGGUGGAGCACCUCACCCUGUGGCACCAGCUGGAGAAGUGUGCAGAUAAUGGAUGUGGACCCUAAGGUAGCCAAGUGACGUUGCAGAGACGCAGGGACACAGCCGGGAAGGCUGAAAGGCAGGACAGUCCCUUUAAAAGUGGGACAUCGAGUCACUGUUGGCAAACUUGACUUCGUUAGUCACAUCCUCAUUGGUCCGUGUCCGUCGGCUUGCAAAGCAGUAACCAGUCACCGUGCCACCCACUGGGAACUGGAUAAAAGCGGCUGGACACCCACAGACCGGCCCAAGACGGGAUAACAAGGCUGUAGCGGUUGAAGCUCCUGGAAGAGAACUGGAGUUUCUACCUGUCUCCCAAAGCCGGUGACGGCAGGUGCCCAGGUGAGCUGGUGAGUCCCUCUUCCCUUCUGCCCCAGCUGAUCAGUGGACUUUUAUACCUGCCUUUGCCUCCUGCCAGGCGAGGCCAUGGCCCCUCUGACUUAAAGCCCUUCCAGAGACACUCCCUCGAUACAGCGAGGGUGCGAUUCACCCCAGUGCCAUUGGC